GACACGUCUGAUGGCUCCCGACCUGUGAAAGCUAGUGUUCACAAUAUGGCAAAUUCGUAAAGGCCCUUAGUUGGUAUGAAAGUAAGUAAUGCAACUGCUAU